rnacentral:rRNA from 1 species
CAUAGCGGCCAUAGCGGGCGGGGAAACUCCCGGACCCAUCCCGAACCCGGAAGAUAAGCCUGCCCGCGUUCCCUGUUGUACUGAGCUGCGGGAGCGCUCGGGAAGCAGGGAUUGCUGCUAUGC